UCAACGUCUCUCUGCCACUUUGUUGUUCUCUCAAUGACUCAAUUCCUUCCCUUGCUUUUCUUUGCCUCAAUCCCUUCUCCAUCGCAAUAAUUUCAGCUUUUUCCCACUCAAUCUCUCCUUUACACUUAACACUGUGUCUUGCCAAGCCACCGUCUUCCUUCCCCAUCCUUUGUUCUGCUGAUUCUAACUCUCCAUUCUUUAUGUCCUGUUUUGUUAAUCGUACUUUGCUCUCAUGUUCUUUCUUCCUUGUUUCAAAUUGUCGAUAUGUCUCUCCU